UACGUAGGGUGCAAGCGUUGUCCGGAAUUAUUGGGCGUAAAGAGCUCGUAGGCGGUCUGUCGCGUCGGAUGUGAAAAUCCAGGGCUCAACCCUGGACCUGCAUUCGAUACGGGCAGACUAGAGUUCGGCAGGGGAGACUGGAAUUCCUGGUGUAGCGGUGAAAUGCGCAGAUAUCAGGAGGAACACCGGUGGCGAAGGCGGGUCUCUGGGCCGAUACUGACGCUGAGGAGCGAAAGCGUGGGGAGCGACAGG
rnacentral:rRNA from 1 species